UCUUCAUAUGGUCUCAACUAGACUUCCUCUCACUGAGAUCUUCUAUUUCAUGUCAUUUCAAUGUAAAACCGACUCUACCCGCCAUUCCUAGGGAACGCGUAUCGCAGAGUAUCGAUCCACUAAUGAAAGUAGUCCAUCGUUCCAUUUCGUCAUCGAUGAGGCACAAUCUUAACACGAAUUCUUGUAUUUCAAAUAGAAUGUGACAAUUCAGAUGGAAAAAGGUUUGCACAACUGCACCAAAUGGCACCAAAUUCAGAAACCGUGACAUCUAAAUGAUGUCAAGGCUGACACAUUACUACAGUAAUAGAAGAUCCUAAGUAUGCU
rnacentral:lncRNA from 1 species